rnacentral:snRNA from 1 species
AUGUCUUGGCCUUUUGGCUGAGAUCAAAUGUACCAUUUUUGGCACCAAGGGGAGGGUGUUAGGGAUGGCUCUGGCCCUUUUUUGGUGCCAGCCUGGUAUUGCAGUACCUCCAGGCCUGAUUCCAGUUCC